GACGAACGCUGGCGGCGUGCUUAACACAUGCAAGUCGAACGGAAAGGCCCUGCUUUUGUGGGGUGCUCGAGUGGCGAACGGGUGAGUAACACGUGAGUAACCUGCCCUUGACUUUGGGAUAACUUCAGGAAACUGGGGCUAAUACCGGAUAGGAGCUCCUGCUGCAUGGUGGGGGUUGGAAAGUUUCGGCGGUUGGGGAUGGACUCGCGGCUUAUCAGCUUGUUGGUGGGGUAGUGGCUUACCAAGGCUUUGACGGGUAGCCGGCCUGAGAGGGUGACCGGCCACAUUGGGACUGGGAUACGGCCCAGACUCCUACGGGAGGCAGCAGUGGGGAAUAUGGCACAAGGGGCGGAAGCCUGAUGCAGCAACGCCGCGUGCGGGAGGACGGCCUUCGGGUUGUAAACCGCUUUCGCCUGUGACGAAGCGUGAGUGACGGUAAUGGGUAAAGAAGCACCGGCUAACUACGU
rnacentral:rRNA from 1 species